AUGCUUACUCUUGGUGACCGUCCUGCUCGCACUCGAGGGCCGCUUACCGUCUCUCAGGAAUGUUACCACAACCCUCAUAUGGGGAUGUCCUACAAAAUGCCUCUCAUAAUGAAAAAUGAAACUCAGUCUUUUCUGCCCAGAGCAGCACUGAUCAGGCCCAAAGCUCAGCUUCUUCUCCAAGACUCAUUUUUUCUACCUUUCCUGUAUACUAAGUUAAUUCACCUUGUGCUGCCGUGGCUCGCAGGAGACUAGGACUUACUGCAGAGGUUCUAGUAACGUCCCCUUUCCCUGUUCCCUACAUUUGGCGCCCAACGUGGACGUAAAUCGGAUCCACAAGCGAACUCGUCUGUGAGACAAACUCGGAGUAAAAGAGACAGCACAUGGAUCUCCCAGGACGAUUUCCGGACUUGGAUGAGGGACACUGGUGGUGCUGUUUUUCCACUGAGCUUUUAAAAAAACUCUGUCAGUGAUCCUGGUUUACAGCCAUGAUUAAGAACCCUCAUGGAUCUAAGAAGCGGCAAUAACGUGGCUAAGGUUCUUCAAGUAUUGGUGAUCAGACACAUUUGGAACUUGCUGGAUUGCUUGCAAAAUUCUUCUGUAGAGGAGAACUUGUUGCCUUCUCAGGAACUGCUUUAGAGUUAGCAUCCCUGGAGGUUAUGGUGAGGACAAUAAUGUGAAAAUCUGUCAUCGUUAACUCUGUUGGAGAGUUUUGAAGACACUACCGAGGAUUAAAUGAUCUGGAAAAUUCAGUCUUUGGAAAAGUGUAUUGUAUUCAUCUCUGUUCUUUCCACUUUUAUGUAUCACCAAAAUCUUAGAGCAAUAUGAUUAGCUAUAGUGACUUAUAGGUGCAAAGGUAAUUUUCAUCUUUGCUUUACCCCCCCAAAUAUCUAAGAUAUUUUAAUAUUUUUAUUAACAUUUUUAUAUGCUAGCUUAAUCUCAGAUAUCUUUA
rnacentral:lncRNA from 1 species